CAUUCACCAAACAAGCUACAUGGAAGGAAGAACAGCAAGCAGCCACAACCGCAAGAUCUACUCAACAAGUUUCUCCAAACACACAAAUGGUUUACAACCUGCUGAUGAUUUUGAAGAUCAACUGAAAUUAAACCAGCAAAGCUUCAAGUUGGAAAAAAAAAAAAAAGUUGAUCAAUUGGAAAUCGUUUCUUCAACAUAUUUCUCUUUUCGCUGCGCACCAAACAUUACCUGUCAAGAGUUGCACCAAAGUGCUGGACGUGUUUCAUGAGCAGGCCUUCAUGGCAGGGACACGUGAAGAGCGAGCCCUGCUUUAACACGCUGUGGAGACGUUCUUAUUCGUCAUGUCUCAUCACUCAUCGCCCGGCCGCGGAAAAUGGGACGUAAAUGUUUCUUGUGUUUGGCAUGAGCUUUGACAGCACUUAUUUUAAGUCCACUUGCCUUUAACUCAAGAAAUGGAGGUGUAUUAGCCUCGCGUAAACUAGUCAUGUACCGAAAAUACA